rnacentral:rRNA from 1 species
GACGAACGCUGGCGGCGUGCUUAACACAUGCAAGUCGAACGGAAAGGCCCUGCUUUUGUGGGGUGCUCGAGUGGCGAACGGGUGAGUAACACGUGAGUAACCUGCCCUUGACUUUGGGAUAACUUCAGGAAACUGGGGCUAAUACCGGAUAGGAGCUCCUGCUGCAUGGUGGGGGUUGGAAAGUUUCGGCGGUUGGGGAUGGACUCGCGGCUUAUCAGCUUGUUGGUGGGGUAGUGGCUUACCAAGGCUUUGACGGGUAGCCGGCCUGAGAGGGUACCGGCCACAUUGGGACUGAGAUACGGCCCAGACUCCUACGGGAGGCAGCAGUGGGGAAUAUUGCACAAUGGGCGGAAGCCUGAUGCAGCAACGCCGCGUGCGGGAUGACGGCCUUCGGGUUGUAAACCGCUUUCGCCUGUGACGAAGCGUGAGUGACGGUAAUGGGUAAAGAAGCACCGGCUAACUACGUG